UCAUCAAUACGUGUAUAUUAAGUCGGUUUAUUCAUUUAAUAGACGCUCUAAUCCAAAGCCAUAAACAACUAGUCAACAAUAAAUAUUCAUUUAUUUACGGAGCAGAGCACAUGGAUGAACAUGGCCGUGCCAGAAAUGAUUAUUAUUCAUCUGUAGGCCACUGACGGUGUGUCACCCUAAAAACAAAUGAUCAUAUAUUGAUGCAUAAAAAACACGUACAUUACAGAAAAUCAUGCUAAACAUUAUAUUGAAUAAAAAUAUUGAUCUAAAUGUUGUGCUACAUAAAAACUAAAAAGAUCAUUUUACUAGCAAUUUUGAAGCUAAACAGUAGGACAUUAAAACUAAUUUAUAAUGCUAAUAUUUGUAAAAAGUUUACCAGCUGAGUUUAGUUUCAAAAUGAGAUCACUCCGUUUUUUAAACAUUUUCAAAAAUCAUGUUUUUAUUAUGUUAUCAUGAUUUUAUUGUGUUUUACUGUGUAAGGUAGCUGUUUUUCUUUUAGUUAUUACGGUUUAAAUAAAAACAAACCAACUUCAGUUUGAUUGAUAUUAAUUGAAAUGCACAAUAAAAAUACAUGAUUUAAAAAAAACGUUAUCUCAUUUUGGAUCCAAACUCUUCUUAUAUUAUAUAACAGAUUUGUUUCAGUGUUACAGAUUUGUUUCAGUGUUACAGAUUUGUUUCAGUGUUACAGAUGUUAUAAUGUUACAGAUUUGUUUCAGUGUUACAGAUGUUAUAAUGUUACAGAUUUGUUUCAGUGUUACAGAUGUCACAGUCUAUCAUUGGUCAGUGGGCGUUUAUGAGCUCAGAUUUCGUUUGUGUUGUAGUUUCACUUCCUGCUCGAGAUGAAAACGCAUGAAGUUUCUGCGCACUUUUAACCCAACACGCACGCUUUCAUUUUCUCUCUUUCAAAGUGAUGUCCGUAAAAACUUCGCAAACCUUCCUUUAAAAUGUCACGUGGCGUGUUUGUGAAGCUGAAGGGUUCGAGUGCGCGCGCGCUUGGAGAUCUUCACGCGACGGACGGAUCGCUUCCUGAUGUCUGCUGUGACAUUUGACUUCAUGUCCCCCCAGUGAAUAUUUCCUCUGGAUUUACGCUCGCACUGACCCGGUUCUGGCGAAGACAAUGGACUCUUGUAAAGGAAGUCCAGUGUCGUUUGUGAAGCUUCUGAGGAUCCAUCGGGAGCUUCUGGUGGGUCAGGUGAAGAACACACAGUGUCUGCUGGACAAUCUGCACGUGAACAACUUCAUCUGUACUGAAGACAGAGAGAUCAUACAGAGAAGCACCACCAAAACUGACCAGGUGCGCAGGAUUCUGGAGUUGGUUCAGAGUAAAGGAGAAGAAUGUUCUGCAUAUCUCGUCCAUGUUCUUCAUGAGGCAUAUGAUGCUUAUAUUGACCUGCGGCCGUGGUUCUGUGAUAUUCACUACAGUCCAUUAGAAUCUAUAAGAGUCGUACCUGUGAUCAACACAGACCCCAUCAGCAGAUACUGUGAGAAGCUGAGGUGUGAACUGGGAAGAGACACUCAGUUCAUCAUGUCUUAUUCGAGAAGUGAAGACACACGUCUGGAGGAUCUGUACACGGACACACAGAUGGAGCUGCUGAAUGACACCGGUGAAAGUUUGGGCUUCUUACAGAGUCUGAACCACCUGUUAGGAGAUCAGGGAGUCUUCAACCAGCAGGCCGAGACCAUCUUCAUCACAGGCGACGCUGGCGUGGGUAAAUCCAUCCUGCUUCAGAAGCUUCAGAAUCUGUGGUCCAGGAGAGAGCUGAACACCCGCGCCAAGUUCUUCUUCAAAUUCCGCUGCAGGAUGUUCAGCGCUUUCAAAGAAACGGACGAGAUCUCGCUGAAGGAGCUCAUCUUCAAACACAACUGCUAUCCGGAUAUAGACCCCGAUGACGAAGUCUUCACGUACAUCUUAAGAUUCCCAGAGACGGUGCUCUUCACGUUUGACGGAUACGACGAGAUCCAAAUGGACUUCGACCUGGAUAACGUACCCGAAGUGGUGUCGCCGGAGGAAAAGACGCACCCGCUUCUUCUCCUCAUGAAUCUGCUCUGUGGAAAACUGCUGAGAGGUUCCCGCAAGGUUCUGACAGCACGGACGGGCACGGAGGUCCAGCGCAGAGUGAUCAGGAAGAAGGUUUGUCUGCGAGGUUUCUCGCCCGAGCACCUGAGGACGUACACGGCUCUGCAUUUCCCAGAGACGGAACACAUGAAGCUGGUGAGCGUGCAGCUGGACGCAAACCCCCAUCUGUGCGGCCUCUGCUCCAUCCCGCUCUUCAGCUGGAUCAUCCUCAAGAGCUUCAGACAUUUCCUCUCCGUUUAUGACACCUUCCAGUUACCCGACUCCUGCAUCACCCUCACCAAUGUGUUCCUGCUCCUCUCCGAGGUGUUCUUGGGUCGCACGACGGCUCGGCCCGGUCUCCUGAAGCGCAGCACCAGGUGUCCUGCCGACACCUUCAAAUCGGGUGAAGCAAAGCUUUGGGCCUUUGCUAGACUGGCUCUGCAGGGUCUGGAGCGAGGGGGAUUUGUGUUCGGCGUGGAAGAGGUGACGUCCUGCGGGUUGGACGAGAAAGACCUUCAGUUCGGCUUCCUGAGGCCCGUCUCUCACUACGACGCCUGCGGAGGAUCCGCCACCUUCGAGUUUCUCCACGUGACCCUGCAGGCGUUCCUCGCCGCUUUUUGUCUGGUGCUGGACGCGAACAUCACAGCCGACGCUAUUCUGAGGUUCUUCUCCAGAUGUGAAUACAAACACAAGUCCCGUCUCUCUUGUUUCUCGUGUCUGGGAAGAUCACGGCCCAGAGAGAGGGACCCGUUUCAGACCAACGAACACUUUCAGUUCGCUAACCUCUUUCUGUGCGGCCUCUUGUCCAAACCCAACGCCGCGCUCCUGGAGCAUCUCGUCCCACCGCUCUCGCUGAAGAAAAAGCGGAAGACGCUGAAGUCGUACCUGUCUAACAGCGUGAGGACGCAUCUGAAGGGUCUGCCUCGAUACCCAUCCACGGACAUCCAGGGUUACAAAGUGCACGCCAUGCCCAACUUCAUGUGGAUGUUGCGCUGUAUAUUUGAGACCAACAGCGAGGAAGUGGCCGAGAUGACGGCCAACGGCAUAUCGGCGGAUUAUAUAAAGAUCGCAUUCUGUAACAUUUACUCGGCGGACUGCAGCGCACUCAACUUUGUGCUGCAUCACCGGAAGAAGCAUCUGGGGGUCGACAUGGACAACAACAACAUCAGUGAUUAUGGCGUGAAACAGCUGACACAUUCCUUCAGUAAAAUGACCGUGGUAAGAUUGUGUGUGAAUCAGCUGACGGACAGCAGCGUCGAGGUUCUGGCAAAGGAACUCAUCACACAUAAAGUCAUCAAGGUUCUGGGUCUUUACAAGAAUCACAUCACAGACGUUGGAGCCAAACUGAUAGCAGAGAUCAUUGAAGAAUGUCCUCAUCUUCGCACUGUCAAGUAAGUGAACAUACAGCGUCUGAUCUCACUACAUUAUUCCUGCUCAACGUUCAUUCAUAUAUAAUCUGUAAUCUGUAAAUCUACAGGGGUAUAAAGUCUCGUUCACACCCAGAACGAUAACUUUGCAGAACCAAUCCUUCCUAUAUGCAGACUAUGCAGGUUGCGUAGGGCCCCUGCACCACCACGGGGCCCCCUUGAGUCCCGAAUCAAAAACACUAUUAUAUCAUGCAGUGGGCGGCAGGUAAUGACAUGCGCAUGAUGUGCUGAUAUGAGCUAUCCGUCUGGAGUGAAAAAACAGCAACAUCGCGAAGCAAAAGAACAGGAAGGCAUGUGUUUUUGUUCUAUUUUAAAGUCUUAAUUAGUUUUGCAAUGAAAACUAUGCACUGAAUUACUUACAAAACAAUUCUCCAGUACAGAUUUACGCAUUCAGUAUUGGUCCAUUGUAUUUGGUUUGCCCAUGAUAUGUCAUUUUUAGUUUGUGCCAUCACAUUUAGAGAAUUACUGAUGUGUUUUCAUAUGCUUAGAUUUGUUGAGUAAACUGUAUUUAUCAUGCUUUGUUUUUGUUAGUAAAUCAGUAAAUUUGGUUGGAAAAAACACUGUGUUUAUGUGUUAAUGUCUUUUUUUUGACAGCUAGAUGGUUCCAGAGUAGAGCCUGCGUGCGUUACGUUAGGAAAAGAAUGAUUUACAUGUCAAUCUAAAUUUGAAUUUAACGUUAUUCUUAAUUGUUCUUACUGUCAGUUUAAUGUUUCUUUUGUCUUUUUCUGUCUUCAUUCGUUUAAGUGUGUUAAUUGAUUUAUUAUUAUUUAUGUCUUAUAGUUUACAGUUCUGUUUAUAUCAAAUUAUUUUCCCUAUGCUGGUCUUCCUGCAAAGGCUAUCAAAUCACUCCAGCUGGUUCAGAACGCAGCAGCAUGCCUCGUCUUCCACGUGACGGCCCUUUUCAUCUCUCUCCACUGGCUACCGGUUGAAGCCCGUAUCAGGUUCAAGUCACUAAUGCUUGCCUACAGGACUAUCACUGGAUCUGCACCCUCCUACACUCCUACACCCCAUCAAGAUCCCUGCGUUCAGCAAACCAGCGGCGUCUUGUGUUGCCUUUCAUAAGGGCAGUAAAUGGCUUUCCAGCUCUUUCUCCUUCACAACUCCUUCCUGGUGGAACAUUCUUCCUUACUCGGUCCGGUCAACCACAUCUCAAAAAACGACUUCAAACCCAUCUCUUCUGUGAAUACUUGACAGACAAAUGAGAAGAAAAAGACUAACCCUCUCUCUUUCUCUCAACUGGUAGUGGUCUGGCUUUUGUUGAAACUAGUAACUUUGUAUUAGCACCUGUUGUAUUAUUGCUCCUGUAAGACAUAUCGCUUAUUGCAAACCCUGAACUCUCUGUAAGUCGCUUUGAUAGAAGCGUCUGCUAAAUGACUAAAUGUAAAUGUAUUAGUACAAGGGCCCCUCACAAGUUUGCUUAGGGCCCCAGACGUCUAGGAUCGGCACUGACUAUGUGAACAUCGACACCAACAGUUGAUAACAUUAUGUUUACUCCCUUAAAUUGGCUGAUUUGUACUCCAACGUUCAGAAAGAUUUUUAAAACGAAAGUUUUUGUUCUAGGCAUGAAUGAACGAUUGGUAUGGAUGAAAUCUACUCAUGUUUACUGGGUACAAAUAUUUCAAAAGUUCAUGACGGUCAUUCAGAUCAGUGAUGUACAUUUGUCUGUUUUUAGACUUGGCUGUAACAACAUCACAUCUUUAGGUGGGACGCAUCUCGCCAGAGCAAUUCACAAGAGCAAAUCCAUCUUUGA